AAUAUUUUUAGAUUUCGACGUUGGUACUUAUUGACAUUUGGACUUCUCCUCAUCACCUCGGUUGGUUUCGCCGAGGUUUUU
rnacentral:ncRNA from 1 species